GCUAACUGUAGCUGCUGCCAGCAGAGCCUCCGCUCCGUAUGAAUCCUUCCCACGGACAACGCUAACUCCGGCUUUAAGAGCAGACCUGACUCGGCAGUAAUGAGGUGGAAAGUAAGAGGAACAUGUCCAUUUACCUGUUCAGUUUCUUUCUUCACCGCUGCCAGGUGUUAACCGAGUUUAAUGAAUGUUUUUACCCCACGCUUUCUGCCCUUCUCCCACGGUUUCUCUCCCUCA